rnacentral:lncRNA from 1 species
CAGACUCAAUACGUCUAUAAACCCAGCUCAAAAGCUUGAAACAGCCUUCCUUUUCCAUUCUCUGAAUUUCCCAGUUAACAACUCCUGAGGAAUUUUCUUUAUCUUGCUCUACCAACUCUUGGUAUGAUAUUUCCUUAUACAAGAUUGAAUAGAGAAAUCUUCAAUCUCCAUUUUAAUUUUAUGUACCAGGUCUGAAUAGAGAAAUCCUCAGGCUGUGUUGUUUAUGUACUUCCUUUCUCUUUCAAGUUUUCUGAAUAGAUAAAUAUUCCGAUAAACUUCUGUCAUUUCCAUUGUCGUUCUCUGUCAGUUACCAUUUUCGUGCUAGAUGAAUAUUGAAGUCCUCUUAAUUGAGGCAUAGAAAAGAACCUUGUAUUGGGUCAGUUCCCCUCCCAAUCCACAAUCGAUUGAUUAAAGUCAAUAUCGGUGCGCAUUUUCCAGUCUUAACAUUUUCAAUCUGUUGGAGUUUUU